UACGGGGGGGGCAAGCGUUGUUCGGAAUUACUGGGCGUAAAGGGCUCGUAGGCGGCCAACUAAGUCAGACGUGAAAUCCCUCGGCUUAACCGGGGAACUGCGUCUGAUACUGGAUGGCUUGAGAUUGGGAGAGGGAUGCGGAAUUCCAGGUGUAGCGGUGAAAUGCGUAGAUAUCUGGAGGAACACCUGCGGCGAAGGCGGGUUGCUGGGCCGACACUGACGCUGAAGUGCGAAAGCUAGGGGAGCGAACGGG
rnacentral:rRNA from 1 species